AUUGAACGCUGGCGGCAUGCCUUACACAUGCAAGUCGAACGGCAGCACGGGUGCUUGCCCCUGGUGGCGAGUGGCGAACGGGUGAGUAAUACAUCGGAACAUGUCCUGUAGUGGGGGAUAGCCCGGCGAAAGCCGGAUUAAUACCGCAUACGAUCUACGGAUGAAAGCGGGGGACCUUCGGGCCUCGCGCUAUAGGGUUGGCCGAUGGCUGAUUAGCUAGUUGGUGGGGUAAAGGCCUACCAAGGCGACGAUCAGUAGCUGGUCUGAGAGGACCACCAGCCACACUGGGACUGAGACACGGCCCAGACUCCUACGGGAGGCAGCAGUGGGGAAUUUUGGACAAUGGGCGAAAGCCUGAUCCAGCAAUGCCGCGUGUGUGAAGAAGGCCUUCGGGUUGUAAAGCACUGUUGUCCGGAAAGAAAUCCUUGGCCCUAAUACGGUCGGGGGAUGACGGUACCGGAAGAAUAAGCACCGGCUAACUACGUG
rnacentral:rRNA from 1 species